rnacentral:tRNA from 1 species
UCCCUAGUAGCUCAGUUGGUAGAGAAUCUGCCUGCAACGCAGGAGACCCAGGUUCAAUUCCUGGGUCAGGAA